AUAGGUUUGGUCCCAGCCUUCCUGUUAACUUUCAAUAGACUUAUACAUGCAAGCAUCCACGCCCCGGUGAGUAACGCCCUUCGAACCACACAGGACUAAAAGGAGCAGGUAUCAAGCACACACUCUUGUAGCUCACAACGCCUUGCUUAACCACACCCCCACGGGAGACAGCAGUAACAAAAAUUAAGCCAUAAACGAAAGUUUGACUAAGCCAUAUUGACCAGGGUUGGUAAAUCUCGUGCCAGCCACCGCGGUCAUACGAUUGACCCAAGCUAACAGGAGUACGGCGUAAAGCGUGUUAAAGCAUCAUACUAAAUAGAGUUAAAUUUUAAUUAAACUGUAAAAAGCCAUAAUUAUAACAAAAAUAAAUGACGAAAGUAACCCUACAAUAGCUGAUACACCAUAGCUAAGACCCAAACUGGGAUUAGAUACCCCACUAUGCUUAGCCCUAAACACAAAUAAUUAU
rnacentral:rRNA from 1 species